UAUCUUUGUAACUAAGAACACCUUAUACAAGGAAACUGCUGUAAAAUUAAAUGUUGAAAACACCUUUAUAUAGUAAGACACCUAGCUCAGACAAGACGUGAAACAAUCAAUAUAGAUUAUAUCAAUGUAGUGCUAUCUGUGAAACUAUUGAAACUAUAUGGAUAUAAUGUGAAAUUCACUGAAACAAAUUGGAGAGUAUUCGAAUUGCUUUAAAAUCAUUUUUGAAUUUUUAUGUGAUGCACCUUGAUUUCAUUGAUGAGUUAGAAUUACACAUUCAAUCUAGUACAAGUGGGUUAAUUUAGUGGUCAUUUUAAAAGCACUUGUCUAGCUCCUACACAUACCAAUGUGAUUAACUUUCUUAGCAUGAUCAGUUGAGUGACUACAGGCAUUUUUCAAAUACUUACUGAAUCCUCUUCAAGACCCCCUGUAUGUGAAAUUUAUGCUAUGGGGAGAAUAUUUGUUUUUGUUAAUUGCAUAUUUACAAAGCUUCUGUUAUUGUGAUUUUGUGAAGUUUUUUUCUGGUAAAAGUGUAUAUUUUUAACAAAUUUUAAUUAAUAUAUUUAUAUACAUGUAUUAUUAAAUUUAUAUUAAGCUUUUAAAGUAUAUACUGCAUUUGAUAGCAAAGCAUGUUGAAAUAUUCAGAUAUAUCUUAUUCUUUUUUUAUAUUUGUAAUUUACAGAAGAAAUUCACUGAAAAUUCUGUAAAAAGUGCUUGUUAACGGUGUACAUAAAUUACAGCUAAAAUCAUUUUUACCCCACUUAAUCUCCUUUUAAAGCAUUAAACGUUUUUUUUCCUCAUUAACAGACUCCACUGGUUGUAUGUUUUCCUUUUAUUCUAUAGUCUUUUAUAGAUGCAUUAAUAAAAUGUAUAUAUUUUUCUUUAUGGGAAGAGGAAUUAUAUGCCAGAGAAGAAUUAUAGACCUGAGACUCUUGUUAUUUCCAAAGUUGGUUCUUUCUUUAUUUAAUGAAUUGGUCUUCCAUUAGAAGAAAUUUUUGUUUAACCCUUUGCCAUGACAUGAUUCUAUCUCUUAAAAUUAUAAUGGUAUAUUAGAGAGUGAAGUGUAUUUUAAGAUUUUGGUUUUUUUUAUUCUUUGAUAGAAAAACUUAUUACGAUAACCUAAACUCCAGUGCCUAUUUCUGAAAAAGGUUAACACUGAUACUUUUUGUAUGGCAUUUUUUUUAAUUCUGAUAAUAUCAGGGAAAGUUGUAUUUCUCUUAGAUUAUUUUUUUUAUAAUGUAUAUUGUUACAUCUCAUUAGAUUCUCAACAAAUGUUUAAUCCAGAUUUCUUUAAUUCAGCUCUGAGGUUGUAUUUUAACUACUUAUGAUGAAAUUAUUACAGCAAAAUUGAUAUCAGUAUAAGUAUCAGACAGCCAAAUAAAUAUCAAAGACGUGCCAACUUUCUUAUUCAAAGACAGAUUACUGAUGUUGAGCUGUCUUUUAAAAUCUUCCAUUAUAUAAACUGAAAACCUCAAAACAUGCAUUCAAUUGGAUGUAAACUAUUGGUAUAUCAGAUAUUUAGCAUUUUAGGAGAUACAGAUCCCACAUGAAUAUUUUGAAAAGUUUGUAGACAUUGACUAUAUUUCGUUCAAAAUUUAUAAUAUUUGAUAUGACUAGAAGAGUGUAAAUAUUGAUAGAAAAUAAAUCAGCUGAUUAAUUAUUACAAUAGAACAGCAUUGUCUUUCAAGCAACUUAUGAACAAAAACUCAAGUUUCUAUCAAGGAAAGAAGGGUAUCAAUCAACAAAUUACAAAAGAGAAAGGAAAUCUUCUUCAUAGUCAUGUUACAUUCUUUGUGUUUUUUUGUCAGAUGAACUAUCAGUAAAGUGUUAAUACUGAUUUUAGUUAUUGGAUUGUUUAAAAAUU
rnacentral:lncRNA from 1 species